GACGAACGCUGGCGGCGUGCCUAACACAUGCAAGUCGAGCGGAAAUAAUUACAGUUUACUUUGAUUAUUUUAGCGGCGGACGGGUGAGUAACACGUGGGCAACCUGCCCUUGAGAGGGGGAUAACACAGAGAAAUUUGUGCUAAUACCGCAUAACCUUUAGACUUCGCCUGGAGUUUAAAUCAAAGGAGUAAUCCGCUCAAGGAUGGGCCCGCGGCGCAUUAGCUAGUUGGUGAGGUAAUGGCGCACCAAGGCGACGAUGCGUAGCCGACCUGAGAGGGUGAUCGGCCACAUUGGAACUGAGAUACGGUCCAGACUCCUACGGGAGGCAGCAGUGGGGAAUAUUGCGCAAUGGGGGAAACCCUGACGCAGCAACGCCGCGUGAGCGAUGAAGGCCUUCGGGUUGUAAAGCUCUGUCUUUGGGGACGAUAAUGACGGUACCCAAGGAGGAAGCCACGGCUAACUACGUGCCAGCAGCCGCCGUAAUAC
rnacentral:rRNA from 1 species